rnacentral:rRNA from 1 species
AGUUGUUGCAGUUAAAAAGCUCGUAGUUGAAUUUCGGGGUUAGUAGGUUGGUCAUGCCUCUGGUAUGUACUGGUCUCACUGAUUCCUCCUUCCUGAUGAACCGUAAUGCCAUUAAUUUGGUGUUGCGGGGAAUUUGGACUGUUACUUUGAAAAAAUUAGAGUGUUUAAAGCAAGCUAACGCUUGAAUACAUUAGCAUGGAAUAAUGAAAUAGGACGUUCGAUCCUAUUUUGUUGGUUUCUAGGAUUGACGUAAUGAUUAAUAGGGAUAGUUGGGGGCAUUAGUAUUCAAUUGUCAGAGGUGAAAUUCUUGGAUUUAUUGAAGACUAACUACUGCGAAAGCAUUUGCCAAGGAUGUUUUCAUUAAUCAAGAACGAAAGUUAGGGGAUCGAAGACGAUCAGAUACCGUCGUAGUCUUAACCAUAAACUAUGCCGACUAGGGAUCGGAUGAAGUUAAAUUUUUAAUCGACUCAUUCGGCGCCUACCCGGGGAAACA